GUGGGGAAUAUUGGACAAUGGGGGCAACCCUGAUCCAGCAAUGCCGCGUGAGUGAUGAAGGCCUUCGGGUUGUAAAGCUCUUUUGCCAGGGACGAUGAUGACGGUACCUGGAGAAUAAGCCCCGGCUAACUUCGUGCCAGCAGCCGCGGUAAUACGAAGGGGGCAAGCGUUGUUCGGAAUUACUGGGCGUAAAGGGCGCGUAGGCGGCCGAUCAAGUCAGGCGUGAAAUUCCCGGGCUCAACCUGGGGGCUGCGCUUGAUACUGAUUGGCUUGAAUGCGGGAGAGGAUAGUGGAAUUCCCAGUGUAGAGGUGAAAUUCGUAGAUAUUGGGAAGAACACCGGUGGCGAAGGCGGCUAUCUGGCCCGUAAUUGACGCUGAGGCGCGAAAGCGUGGGGAGCAAACAGGAUUAGAUACCCUAGUAGUCC
rnacentral:rRNA from 1 species